UUCAACAUGGCGGCUGCGUUAGACUCCAGCGCAGAGGCCGCUCCGAGGGCUGCUGUCAGGUGCGCGUCCCCAGAAAAGAGGCGGGGAAGGCAGACGCAACAGAAGAGCCUCAAGGGCAAGAAAAGGACUAGGUGGCCUCCCCAGAGGGCAGCCUGACGUGAAGAUAAGGACGGGAGGACUUCCCGACAGUAACAAAACUGCAAAGUAACCAAGGAGAAGAAACAGAUUAUCCACAAAGUAACAAGAUUAAAAAGCAACGUUGGCCCACUGUUUGUUUUAUUGAAGUAUAUCUGCCUAUUUAUGUGAUGCCUCUGGCUGUGUUAAUGCCACAAAUGCAGAAGAAAAUUGGUUACAAGGAGACAAGCCCGCCCAUAAGCCUGCAAAACCCAAGUCAUUUACUCUCUCACCUGUUACCGGAAAAAUAUUUGCCAGCCCCUGACUUAGAGGAUUCAUCUGAGUGUGAAUUCCCAGGGCUAUCUGUCUGUUUAGGUGGUUCAACAAAGAACUUACAGGUUUUUGUGUUUUGG